GGGCUGUCAGUAGAAUGGGGGACUGAGAGUCAGGCCCACACAAGGACACCUCAGGAGAAAAACCCGUGUGACAGUGUGCCUGGUUCAAAUGCUCGACCUCUUUGUAACAGAGCCAUCGCUUCUCGGCCAGUGAUGAUGUGGUGGUGGAGGAGGAGGGCAUGGGAGGGGAGGCACCAAGGACUCCCUUUACUUUCUUACAAAAGCUGACAUGCAGCCUUAAGAGCUGGCUGGCUCUUUCAGUGCAGAUUAUGAAACGUCCACAGGGCUGGACUUGCCCCACUUCCGCUACAGACCUAAGAGCCUGUGGAGGGAACAGCCAGCUCCGCUCUGAGCCCUGAGCCCGGGCCAGGCCACGUGCUAACUGCUUGACAUCGGGUUCUCUCGUUUAACCCACACGAUUUGGCUAUUUUUGUUCUCAUUUUAAAAAUAAGGUUAUUUGAAACUCAGAGGGAAGGGGGGGGGCGUUCAGGACACGGAUCGGCAAGUGGAUACCAAUGCUCUCUCCUCUC
rnacentral:lncRNA from 1 species